UACGUAGGGACCGAGCGUUGUCCGGAUUCAUUGGGCGUAAAGAGCUCGUAGGCGGCUGCUCAAGUCGAUUGUGAAAACUCGGAGCUCAACUCCGAGCCCGCGUUCGAUACUGGGCGGCUAGAGUCUGGUAGGGGGAUCUGGAAUUCCUGGUGUAGCGGUGGAAUGCGCAGAUAUCAGGAGGAACACCGGUGGCGAAGGCGGGAUCCUGGGCCAGUACUGACGCUGACAGCGCGAAAGCCAGGGGAGCAAACGGG
rnacentral:rRNA from 1 species